rnacentral:misc_RNA from 1 species
CAGAGAACCUGCCCUUAACUGGGUAGAUCUCCCACCCUUGAAUAAUUACAUUGUUGCUUUGGCGAGCGCUCCGGCGCGCGCCAGAGAACCCUAAACUCUUGUUUACAGUGUCGUCUGAGUACUAUAUAAUAGUUA